UACGUAGGGUGCAAGCGUUGCUCGGAAUCAUUGGGCGUAAAGAGCGUGUAGGUGGCUAGAUAAGUCGGGUGUGAAAUCCCUUGGCUCAACCAAGGAAGUGCAUUCGAAACUAUCUAGCUCGAGGAUGGCAGAGGAAGGUGGAAUUCCUAGUGUAGCGGUGAAAUGCGCAGAUAUCAGGAGGAACACCGGUGGCGAAGGCGGGUCUCUGGGCAACAACUGACGCUGAGGAGCGAAAGCGUGGGGAGCGAACAGG
rnacentral:rRNA from 1 species